rnacentral:rRNA from 1 species
CGGGUGAGUAACGCGUGGAUAACCUGCCUUACACGUGGGGGAUAACACUUAGAAAUAGGUGCUAAUACCGCAUAAGCGCACAGAGCCGCAUGGCUCAGUGUAGAAAAACUUCGGUGGUGUAAGAUGGAUCCGCGUCUGAUUAGCUGGUUGGCGGGGUAGAAGCCCACCAAGGCGACGAUCAGUAGCCGGCCUGAGAGGGUGAACGGCCACAUUGGGACUGAGACACGGCCCAAACUCCUACGGAAGGCAGCAG